GUUUCCGUGGUGUAGUAGUUAUCACGUUCGCCUCACACGCGAAAGGUCCCUGGUUCGAAACCGGGUGGAAACA